rnacentral:rRNA from 1 species
CCUACGGGGGGCAGCAGUGGGGAAUAUUGCACAAUGGGGGAAACCCUGAUGCAGCGACGCCGCGUGAGCGAGGAAGUAUUUCGGUAUGUAAAGCUCUAUCAGCAGGGACGAAAAAAGACGGUACCUGACUAAGAAGCCCCGGCUAACUACGUGCCAGCAGCCGCGGUAAUACGUAGGGGGCAAGCGUUAUCCGGAUUUACUGGGUGUAAAGGGAGCGUAGACGGCAAGGCAAGCCAGAAGGGAAAGGGCAGGGCUCAACCCUGGACAUGCUGUUGGAACUGGGGUGCUGGAGUGCAGGGGAGGUAAGUGGAAUGCGUGGUGUAGCGGUGAAAUGCGUAGAUAUUAGGAAGAACACCAGUUGCGAAGGCGGCUUACUGGACUGUAACUGACGUUGAGGCUCGAAAGCGUGGGGAGCAAACAGGAUUAGAUACCCGGGUAGUC